AUUACCCAAUCUCGUUUCAAAACCUAGGUUAUAUAGAUCUUGUUCUAUUUCUGUUUCUUCAAAUAAAUCUCUUAGUUUCUAGAUAUUUUCUUACACAUUAGUGAUUUAUUGGAUGGCUAAUUCAUCUGUUUAGAUCUAUUUCUAUAUGGGCUGGGAUGAUACUUACGCAGGAGUCAUGAGAGGGCUUGAAUAUUUUCCUACAUCCAAACCAGAUUGGAAAAGGCAAUGUAGGUGCAACAACAGAAUAGGCCGGGACACUUGAGCAUCAAAACAAGCGACUAUAUCGCCUAUAAGGCCAUCAUCUAUCUAUUUUGGUUUUUAGUCUUAUAUUAGUGAUGUAUUUAUUUAGGGACAAGCUACUAUAAUAUGCGACUUUUUUUUU